CCCACCGCAGCCCAGGAGCCUGAGGAGCCGCAUCCUGUGAGUGUCCCCACCAUGGUCUGGACGGUGCUUCUGCUCCAGCUCCUGGCGCACAGCUCAGGGGUGGAUUCUCAGACUGUGGUGACCCAGGAGCCGUCAAUGUCAGUACCUCCAGGAGGGACAGUCACACUCACCUGUGGCCUCAGCUCUGGGGCCGUCUCUAGUGGUAACUACCCCAGCUGGUACCAGCAGACCCCAGGCAAGCCUCCCCGCAUGCUCAUCUACAACACAAACAACCGCCCCUCUGGGGUCCCUGAUCGCUUCUCUGGCUCCAUCUCUGGGAACAAAGCCGCCCUCACCAUCUCGGGGGCCCAGCCUGAGGACGAGGCUGACUAUUACUGUGCUCUGUACCUGGGUAGUGGCAUUCACACAGUGAUGUAA